rnacentral:lncRNA from 1 species
CUAACACCGUAACUUGCGUACGUGCACGAGGCCUGGACUGGCUAAGCUUGCGUUCGUCCAGUUGAUGCUAGCGCAGGCCAGUUUCAUGUGGCAUAUUCCUGUUUCAGAAAAAACAGAGGAAGGUUCAGAUGGAGAUAAUAAAGUGCCCAAACAUAGUUGUUUUACCACUUUAUAGCAUCAAAAUAACAGAAGGGCUUACAAGAAAAGUGACUGGAACAACGAUAGUCAAUAAAGUUUCUUCUGCGCCUACAAAUCAAAAUAAUGAAUACGGUUCAGAAAUAUAAUUUCCUUUCUUUUUCUUUCCAAAAAGUUACAGCAGUACGGAUUAAAUGCCUCCAUAUACCAAACAGUCAUAUUUUAAUUUUACAGUUUGUAUGUCAGUAAAACAAAAAUCUGAUCACGCAAAGAGAACUGCCUCACACACAAAGCACAAACUACCCACUGUUAGCUUGGACUAGCCAGUACGACAAAU